rfam:Gossypium arboreum cultivar AKA8401 contig_70970_1, whole genome shotgun sequence.
AACCUAUGGUGAGGGUAUCAUCUCAAUAAGUUCUUAUACCUCUGCCAUGCAUCAUAUAAUGUUUCUAAAUCGAUCUGCACAAAGGAGGAUAUAUCAGUCCUCAACUU